UGCUUUGGUUCAGUGACUCUGCCCAGAAUUGUGAUUGGGUGGCAAUUAUCUUGAAUCUCUUGAAUCGUAGGAUCUGACCCAAAUUGAAGAUUUCGAGACCAAAUUGGACUCUUUCUUUCCCUCUAAUUACGGAAUAUGCCCUUUCCUUGCUCCAUUUUUUACAUUAAGCUCUCCAACUGUUUCUCCCAAUAAAUACAAUUCUGAAAACCCCUAAAAAUCUCUCUCUGCAAUCCUCUGCCCUCGCAAUUAAAAAGUUUAGCCCUUUCCUAUCUUCCACUCGCGAGCGCUUUCCCGAGAAAACCACAAAUUUUCCUCGAAAGUCAAAAAUCAAUUUUCUUGAAUGGAUGAAGAGGGAGCGUUGCCGGACCAUCUGCGCUGUGGCCGGACAGACGGCCGGCAAUGGCGGUGCAAACGGAGAGUCAUGGACGACAUGAAGCUCUGCGAGAUUCACUAUCUCCAAGGACGGCACCGUCAGUUCAGAGAGAAAGUCCCGGAGUCACUCAAACUCCAGAGAAAGCCUAAAAACGCACCGAGCAGAGAUCAAAACCACAACGGCGUCAAAAUUAGGGCACGGAAAGUCGACAAUUUGGUGAAGUUGUUGAAGAGGAAGCGAUCCGAGGAGACGUUGAAGAAAAGUAAGAAGAGGAAGAAGAAGAUGAAGUUGAAGAAGAGCGAGUUGAAUUUGGAGCUUAUACGAAUGGUGCUGAAGAGGGAGGUCGAUAAGAGGAACCAGACGAAGAAGAAGAAGGUUGUGGAGGAAGAGAGUGAGGAUGAUGACGAUGAUGAUCAUGAUGAUCUCACCAGAGACUUGCCUAAUGGCCUAAUGGCAAUUUCUUCGUCUUCGUCACAGUCGCCACUGCUUCGUUCCGGCAAUGCAGGUUCCAAUUCGUCUUCUGAUGGUAAGGUUGGGGUUGAUAUGGGGCCUGCUGCUAUGCGGCGGAGGUGCUUUCGGUCCAAGAACAUCGAGCCAAUGCCUGCUGGCACAUUGCAGGUUUUGCCUUAUAAUGUGGGGAAAUUGAGAAGGGGUAAGAGGAAAAGGUGCCAUUGGUGUCAAAGAAGUGGGAGUGGUGUUUCUUCCUGUCUAACUAAGUGUUCGAGUUGCCAAAAGCAUUUCUUUUGCUUGGGUUGCAUCAAAGAAAGGUAUUUUGAUACACAAGAUGAAGUCAAGAUGGCGUGUCCAGUUUGUCGAGGAACUUGCACCUGUAAGGAAUGCUCUGAAAAUCAAUCAAAAGAUGCUGAAAGUAAGGAUUAUUUGGGGGUUAAGAAUAAAGUUGAAGUAAUAUUACAUUUCCAUUACCUGAUCUGUAUGCUUCUUCCUGUGCUAAAACAAAUAAACCAAGAUCAGAAAGUGGAGCUAGAAGCAGAGGCAAAAAUGAGAGGGGAAAAACUAUCUGAAGUUCAUAUCAAGAAGGCUGAAUAUAGCUGCAAUGAACAACAGUGCUGCAAUAAAUGCAAAGCUUCAAUUGUGGAUCUCCAUAGAAGCUGCCCAAAUUGUUCCUAUAACCUUUGUUUAAGUUGUUGUCGAGAUAUUUUUAACGGGAGCCUCCUUGGAGGUAUUAACACAUCUCUCUCAAAGCACUCUAACAAAAAGAAAAAUUGUGCCUCUGGUAAGGGGCAACUUUUAAAGAAGCCAAUAGCCAACCGUAAGCAAAAUGUCCGCAGUUUGUACCUUUCUUCUUCUGCAUCAGUACUCAGCUUGAAAACUUGUAAUGCUGUUAAGGGUAUAUCUUGCCCACCUAAGGAGUUCGGAGGUUGUGGUGACAGCCUUCUUCAUUUGAGAUGUGUUUUCCCAUUAAGUUGGAUCAAUGAGCUAGAAGUAAGUGCAGAAGAAAUAGUUUGCAGCUACGAAUUUCCAGAAACUUCUGACAUGUCUUUGUGCUGCACACUAUGUUUGGGCAUGGACCAGAAAGUUGAUGGAAUUAAACAGUUGCAAGAAGCGGCUGUGAGAGAGAACUCAAAUGAUAACUAUCUGUACUACCCCACGCUUUUGGAGAUGCAUGGUGAUAAUGUUGAGCACUUUCAGAAGCACUGGGGUAAAGGUCAUCCUGUUAUAGUUCGAGAUGUGCUUCAAACUACGUCAGAUUUGAGUUGGGAUCCAGUGUUAAUGUUCUGCACUUAUCUUGAGAGGAGCAUUGCUGGCUAUGAAAACAACCAGAAUUCACACGAAGCUAUCCACUGCUUGGAUUGGUGUGAGGUGGAAAUUGGAAUCAGGCAGUCUUUUAUGGGUUCAUUGAAGGGGCAGGGACAAAGGAAUAUGUGGAAUGAGACACUGAAGUUGAGGGGUUGGCUUUCUUCGCAGUUAUUUCAGGAACAGUUCCCAGCUCAUUAUGCUGAAAUAAUACGAGCUCUACCACUUCAAGAAUACAUGAAUCCCAUGUCGGGUCUUCUAAAUCUUGCGGCAAGGAUGCCACAGGAAAUCCCAAAACCUGAUCUAGGUCCCUGUGUUUAUAUUUCAUAUGGCUGCACUGAGCAACUUGUACAGGCUAAUGCAGUGAUAAAGCUAUCUUAUGACUCAUAUGAUGUGGUUAACAUUUUGGCACAUACAUCAGAUGUCCCUAUCUCUGAAGAACAAGUUUCUAAAAUAAGAAAGUUACUGAAAAAGCACAAGGCUCAAAAUCAGAGGGAAUCUUCUAGAGCUACUUCUGAACAAACUAUUGCAAAAAAAGUCAAAGGAGAAUCAGUAUUGCAUAGUGAACCCAUGGAAGAAGCAGGGUCGCAUAAUGUGAUUGGAGAAGAGAUGCAUUUACGCAAAAGAGUUGCUAGAGAAUCUUGCUUUUCCACACAUGCGGCAUGCACUAGGAAUCUCAAAGAAAGUAAUAUGCCCCACGAUGGGCAGUCUGAUUCUGAGACUGAUUCUGAAGCUACACUAAGUAGCUCUGAGACAAUCGAUGAUGAUGCUGAAACGUCCAAAGAUAAAAUGUCUCAGGUUCUGCUUGAAAGCUGCAAUGGCUAUAAAAGGAAAACCUUGGCCGAGUCUUGUGGUGCCCAAUGGGAUGUUUUCCGCAGACAAGAUGUUCCAAAACUUAUACAAUAUCUCAGAAGGCACUCUAAUGAAUUUACUCGUAAAUUUGACAUUCAUAAGCGUGUUGAUCAUCCAAUUCUUGAUCAGAGUUUCUUUCUAGACUCAAGUCACAAACUAAGGCUUAAGGAGGAAUUUAAAAUUGAACCUUGGACUUUCGAGCAACAUAUUGGAGAAGCUGUCAUCAUCCCUGCUGGAUGCCCAUACCAGAUUAGAAGUCCUAAGUCUUGUGUACAUGUGGUGCUGGACUUUGUCUCACCUGAAAAUGUUAAUGAGUGCAUCCAGUUGACUGAUGAAGUCCGUCUGCUUCCAGAAGAUCAUAAAGCAAAAGUUGACAAGCUAGAGGUGAAGAGAAUGGCCCUUUAUAGUAUUAGUUCAGCAAUCAAAGAAAUACGUGAGCUUACAUGUGCAAUGUAAGUGCCACUGCUGGGAAAGACAUGUAUCUCUUUUGUGCUUCCACAUAUGGCACCCGAAUUUCAGAAAAAGAGAAAAGAAAUGGAGAUUCUUGAACAUAUCAAGAUGUUGCAUGACAGUUGGGAAUUCAAAUGAUUGCCGAGUACCACUGCAUGUUUGUAAAUGCUGCAUUGCUCAGGCUUUAGGUGCCCAAAAUUGUUGGACUGUAUCCAUACCUCCAAUAAAGAAGGGUUGUCUAAGCACCUGCCAUGUUCCAUUACAGGUAAUGGUUAGAUGAUCACGGCUAUAUAGUUUCUAGGAACAUCUGGAAACCACUUCAGCUAAUGGAGAUUCUACAGAUGUUUCAUUUUUAUUCUAUUGUACAGAGAAUUGUUUAUUCUUUGUUCCUUUGUUGCAGCCUCGACAAAUGAGCGCAGUGUUCCCCCAGUGUUACUAUUCUCUUCUGCUCGGCGACAUCCCCUUCCCAGUGGAGAGAAUAAGUUUCUCAAAGCCCUGCUUGGUGUUGCCAAUUAUUUUCAUUUCACUCUUAAAAUGUUUGUGGUGUUGGACUUGAAUUGGACCAUGAAUUGGACGAUGAAUUGGUACCAGCAUAUAACCUUGAUUGCUAUGGAAAUCCAGUCCCUGUUUCCCAAUCGUCUAUGGGCAUAGAUAGGACUUGGGCAUUUUCAGAUGGCACAAGAGAGGAUUUGGCUUCCGUCACUUUUUGAAUCAUGUAUACAAGUUUGUUAAACAUAAUCCUGCACUUGUGCCAUUACAUAAUUAGACAGGUUCUCUUUCUUUUUAAGUUUUACCAGAAGAAAGAUACUACUUUGUAUUCUCAUUUUUACAGCUACGUUCAGCUGAUUUGCUUGCCGAUCGAUUUGAGUGAUCGUUUUGUUUGGCAACUGUAGUUGUACGUGGAAGAUGGCCAUCUUUUUUUUUCGUUAUUUAUAGAAAACAUUAGGAUUUAAGGGCU